rnacentral:tRNA from 2 species
GGGACCGAGGUGUAACGGCAGCAUCACUGGCUCUUAACCAGUUGGGUCGGGGUUCGAGUCCCUGCGGUCUCACCU